rnacentral:tRNA from 1 species
UCCCUAGUGACUCAGAUGGUAGAGAAUCUGCCUGCAAUGCAGAAGACCUGGGUUCAAACCCUGGGUCGGGAA